rnacentral:rRNA from 1 species
UGCAGUCGAACGAUGAUCCGGUGCUUGCACCGGGGAUUAGUGGCGAACGGGUGAGUAACACGUGAGUAACCUGCCCUUGACUCUGGGAUAAGCCUGGGAAACUGGGUCUAAUACCGGAUAUGACUGUCUGGCGCAUGCCAUGGUGGUGGAAAGCUUUUGCGGUUUUGGAUGGACUCGCGGCCUAUCAGCUUGUUGGUGGGGUAAUGGCCUACCAAGGCGACGACGGGUAGCCGGCCUGAGAGGGUGACCGGCCACACUGGGACUGAGACACGGCCCAGACUCCUACGGGAGGCAGCAGUGGGGAAUAUUGCACAAUGGGCGAAAGCCUGAUGCAGCGACGCCGCGUGAGGGAUGACGGCCUUCGGGUUGUAAACCUCUUUCAGUAGGGAAGAAGCGAAAGUGACGGUACCUGCAGAAGAAGCGCCGGCUAACUACGUGCCAGCAGCCGCGGUAAUACGUAGGGCGCAAGCGUUAUCCGGAAUUAUUGGGCGUAAAGAGCUCGUAGGCGGUUUGUCGCGUCUGCUGUGAAAGACCGGGGCUCAACUCCGGUUCUGCAGUGGGUACGGGCAGACUAGAGUGAUGUAGGGGAGACUGGAAUUCCUGGUGUAGCGGUGAAAUGCGCAGAUAUCAGGAGGAACACCGAUGGCGAAGGCAGGUCUCUGGGCAUUAACUGACGCUGAGGAGCGAAAGCAUGGGGAGCGAACAGGAUUAGAUACCCUGGUAGUCCAUGCCGUAAACGUUGGGCACUAGGUGUGGGGGACAUUCCACGUUUUCCGCGCCGUAGCUAACGCAUUAAGUGCCCCGCCUGGGGAGUACGGCCGCAAGGCUAAAACUCAAAGGAAUUGACGGGGGCCCGCACAAGCGGCGGAGCAUGCGGAUUAAUUCGAUGCAACGCGAAGAACCUUACCAAGGCUUGACAUGAACCGGUAACGCCUGGAAACAGGUGCCCCGCUUGCGGUCGGUUUACAGGUGGUGCAUGGUUGUCGUCAGCUCGUGUCGUGAGAUGUUGGGUUAAGUCCCGCAACGAGCGCAACCCUCGUUCCAUGUUGCCAGCACGUAGUGGUGGGGACUCAUGGGAGACUGCCGGGGUCAACUCGGAGGAAGGUGGGGACGACGUCAAAUCAUCAUGCCCCUUAUGUCUUGGGCUUCACGCAUGCUACAAUGGCCGGUACAAAGGGUUGCGAUACUGUGAGGUGGAGCUAAUCCCAAAAAGCCGGUCUCAGUUCGGAUUGGGGUCUGCAACUCGACCCCAUGAAGUCGGAGUCGCUAGUAAUCGCAGAUCAGCAA